UACGGAAGGCAGCAGUGGGGAAUAUUGCACAAUGGGCGCAAGCCUGAUGCAGCCAUGCCGCGUGUAUGAAAAAGGCCUUCGGGUUGUAAAGUACUUUCAGUCGUGAGGAAGGUGUUAAGGUUAAUAACCUUAGCAAUUGACGUUAGCGACAGAAGAAGCACCGGCUAACUCCGUGCCAGCAGCCGCGGUAAUACGGAGGGUGCGAGCGUUAAUCGGAAUUACUGGGCGUAAAGGGCACGCAGGCGGUUAAUUAAGUUGGAUGUGAAAUCCCCGGGCUUAACCUGGGAAUGGCAUUCAAGACUGGUUAGCUAGAGUCUUGUAGAGGGGGUAGAAUUCCAUGUGUAGCGGUGAAAUGCGUAGAGAUGUGGAGGAAUACCGGUGGCGAAGGCGGCCCCUGGACAAACGACUGACGCUCAUGUGCGAAAGCGUGGGGAGCAAACAGGGAUUAGAUACC
rnacentral:rRNA from 1 species